rnacentral:lncRNA from 1 species
AGAGGUUUUCUAAUUUGAUACCACAGAUAGUUUUCUAAUCAAGUGUAGGUGGAAUCUUCCUUAGGUUAAUUCAAGAAGUACCACAUGAUAUUCAAGGAAAAACAUGAGUGGAAAUCUAACCUCUUCAAUAAGUAUGAAAGCUUGUUCAUUUAAGACCUUUUGCCCAAUCUAUUAAGUAUUUUAUCAACAUGAGAGCAAUUUAACACAUUAUUCUCCCCCUGUUUCAUUAAAUUAGAGGCUCUUAAGAUUUGUAAUUUGGUUCAUGAGUGAUGCAUAAGAUAUACUAACCAAAUAACACGCCUCAAGGUGUAUCAUAAAGAUUUUCAGAUUUAAAUUUCAGAUGAUACACAUUGGAGAGUAUUAGGAUUACUUUUCAUUUAGUAUUCUUUCUCUCUCCUUUAGCUAUAGAUUUAUGCAAUUAAGUCCAAUAAGACCUCUCCUUCUGAAAUUUUCUUUCUCCCCCUCAAUUGAUCAUUCCAUUUAAGAGUUUAGAAUCCUAAGAUAAUGUUCAACAAAAUUGUCAAUCUCAAAAAUAUAUUUUCUAUAAGUUUCAGCUUANN